UACGAGGGGGGCAAGUGUUGUUCGGAAUCACUGGACGUAAAGGGAGCGUAGGCGGAUGUUUAAGUUGGAUGUUUAAAACCGGGCCUAACCUCGGAGCGGCAUCCAAAACUGGGCAUCUUGAAUAGGUCAGAGGCUGGUGGAAUUGGAGGUGUAGCGGUGGAAUGCGUAGAUAUCGAUAAGGAAGACCAGUGGCGAAGGCGAAUCUCUGGACAGUUACUGACACUGAGGCACGAAGGCCAGGGGAGCAAACGGG
rnacentral:rRNA from 1 species